UGGGGCCCACGAGCAUUUCUACUUGCAUGCCUUUUCCUUCUUGCACCCAUGCAUGACGCGUACGAUUAACCGCAAGGGGCAUUCAAGCGAGUCAGUUGCUGGCCAGGGAAUGGAAUGGACCACGUCGGCGUCGGCGGCCAUGGCCAGGCGACGAUGAUGCGGCCUGUGGAGCAGGGUCCAUGGCCGGCGGCGGUGGAGCACGAGAGGGGCGCGGUGGAUGGUGCCACGGCGAGCGCAUGGGACCCGUCAGCAGAUGGGGAGGUGGAGGCACGGCUGGGCGGGCUGAUUGACGGUGCGCGUGCAGGAGAGCUCGGUGGGCUAGCAGCCAGCACGACGGCUCACCGGCGGCAUGACGCAGACGAUGAGGCAAAGCGCGACAUGGCACAGGGUGAGCUCGCCGGGACGAGGUGGGAGUGGGAGGACGCCAUGGAGCAUACCUACACGGCAGCGGCGAGCAGACG
rnacentral:misc_RNA from 1 species